GACGAACGCUGGCGGCGUGCUUAACACAUGCAAGUCGAGCGGUAAGGCCCUUUCGGGGGUACACGAGCGGCGAACGGGUGAGUAACACGUGGGUGACCUGCCCUCAGCUCUGGGAUAAGCCUGGGAAACCGGGUCUAAUACUGGGUAUGACUCCAUGACGCAUGUUGUGGGGUGGAAAGCCUUGUGCGGCUGAGGAUGGGCCCGCGGCCUAUCAGCUUGUUGGUGGGGUGAUGGGCCUACCAAGGCGACGACGGGUAGCCGGCCUGAGA
rnacentral:rRNA from 1 species